rnacentral:misc_RNA from 1 species
GAUGAAGAACGUAGCGAAAUGCGAUAAGUAAUGUGAAUUGCAGAUUUCAGUGAAUCAUCGAAUCUUUGAACGCACCUUGCACCCUGUGGUAUUCCACAGGGUAUGCCCGUUUGAGUAUCAUUAACUCAUCAACUCCAAAACCUUUGUGUUCUUGGUGCUUGGUCUUGAGGGUUCAUUGCAGGCUUUUUGCAAAGUCGGCUCCCUUUAAAUCCAUUAGCGAGAUUUCCCUGUGCUGAACUCGUCUCUCGACGUGAUAAGUCUAUCUGCGUCAAAUUUAGAGUUCUCGUUGGGCUUGCUUCUAAUCGUCCACUUUGGACAAUCGGAUCGAGAGAUGUCUAUGUGCAUCCACCUUUCCAAAACCAUUUUUGAUCUCAAAUCGGGUAGGACUACCCGCUGAACUUAAGCAUAUCAAUAAGCGGAGGA